rnacentral:rRNA from 1 species
AUGGACGUAAGUCUGACGCAGCGACGCCGCGUGAGGAUGAAGGCUUUCGGGUUGUAAACUUCAGUAUACUGGGAAGAAAAAGUAAGUUCGUUGAGGGCUUACAUUGACGGUACCAGUCCAAAGCCCCGGCUAAUUACGUGCCAGCAGCCGCGGUAAUA